AAAGGUUUGGUCCUAGCCUUAUUAUCAAUUUUUUCUUGAAUUACACAUGCAAGUCUCAGCACACCCGUGAGGAUACCCUUAAAACCUCAACCAGACUAAGGAGCCGGCAUCAGGCACAACAUCUGCCCACAACGCCUAGUCCUACCACGCCCCCAAGGGCAUUCAGCAGUGAUAAAUAUUGCCAAUAAGCGACAGCUUGACCCAGUUAAAGAAAAUAGAGCCGGCCAACUCGGUGCCAGCCGCCGCGGCUAAACCGCAUGGGCUCAAAUUGAUAGUUACCGGCGUUAAGCGUGAUUAAAGUCUCCACCACAAUUAAGGUAAAACCCGUACUUAGCCGUGAAAAGCUUGAACCGGGGAAAAUCAUAAACGAAAGUUACCCUAAUAAAUCACUUGAAUACACGACAGCUAGA
rnacentral:rRNA from 1 species